AUGAAUAAAGAGAGCAUGUGCUUCUCACAUGCUUGAAGAAGCCAAGUAUAUAUAUAGAUAGGAGAGGUCAUCUUUUUAAAUCAAGAAGUUGUAGAGAAAGGAAAAAAAAAUAUAGAAGAAGAAGAAAGAGGAGGGGCCAAUUCGGCCAAGAAGGAGGAGAAAGAGAAGACCAAAAAUCUUGCCCCAAAAAUUUAUUUCUCAUAGUAUUUCUACUAAUUCAAAGAUGCUCUCCAACAUGGUAUAAUUGUUGAAGCAAGAGAAUUAUUCUUUGGUGCAAAACUCCAACCUUAGCUAAGUUGAGAAGUUGUGAAGGAAAGAUUUUGGUGAAUUUGGAGCUUGAGUUUGGAGAAGCAAAAGGAGCGGAAAAGGUACUCCCAGAUGAUUAGAAGACCUUACUAAAGAUGUUCCAGCGGAGAUGGCGAACUCCACUUGUCCCGGAGAAUUGCCAAGUCCAAGUAUAUGCUAUGAUGUUCUGUUCUAUGUUAGAGACUUUGCAGACAAAGCAAUGGGUAUUGGGUUGUCAGUCUG